rnacentral:rRNA from 1 species
ACCUCAAAAUGUUCUUAUUUCUCACUCAAUCCUGUCUGAUGCUGGAAGCUAAACAGGUUCAGGCCUGGUUAGUACUUGGAUGGGAGACUGCCUGGGAAUACUGAUACUGUAGGCU